UACGUAGGGGGCAAGCGUUGUCCGGAUUUAUUGGGCGUAAAGAGCGUGUAGGCGGCCAUGCAGGUCAGCUGUGAAAACUCGAGGCUCAACCUCGAGACGUCGGUUGAAACCGCAUGGCUAGAGUCCGGAAGAGGAGAGUGGAAUUCCCGGUGUAGCGGUGAAAUGCGCAGAUAUCGGGAAGAACACCCAUGGCGAAGGCAGCUCUCUGGGACGGUACUGACGCUGAGACGCGAAAGCGUGGGGAGCAAACAGG
rnacentral:rRNA from 1 species